rnacentral:rRNA from 1 species
AUUGAACGCUAGCGGGAUGCCUUACACAUGCAAGUCGAACGGCAGCAUAAGAGAGCUUGCUCUCUUGAUGGCGAGUGGCGAACGGGUGAGUAAUGUACCGGAACGUGCCCAGUAGCGGGGGAUAACAGUUGGAAACGACUGCUAAUACCGCAUAAGCCCACAGCUCGGCAUCGAGCAGAGGGAAAAGGAGUGAUCCGCUUUGAGAUGGCCUCGCGUCCGAUUAGCUGGUUGGUGAGGUAACGGCCCACCAAGGCAACGAUCGGUAGCCGGACUGAGAGGUUGAACGGCCACAUUGGGACUGAGACACGGCCCAG